rnacentral:rRNA from 1 species
CCUACGGGAGGCAGCAGUGAGGAAUAUUGGUCAAUGGGCUCGAGCCUGAACCAGCCACGUAGCGUGAAGGAUGACUGCCCUACGGGUUGUAAACUUCUUUUAUAAGGGAAUAAAGUGAGGCUCGUGUGCCUUUUUGUGUGUGCUUUAUGAGUACGGAUCCGCUAAAUCCGUGCCAGCAGCCGCGGUAAUACGGAGGAUCCGCGCGUUAUCCGGAUUUAUUUGGUUUAAAGGGAGCGUAGAUGGGUUGUUAAGUCAGUUGGGAAAGUUUGCGGCUCAACCGUAAAAUGGCACUUGAGACUGGCAGUCUUGAGUACAGAUGAGGUAGGCGGAAUUCGUGGUGUAGCGGUGAAAUGCUUAGAUAUCACGAAGAACUCCGAUUGCGAAGGCAGCUGACUAAACUGCCACUGACAUUGAGGCUCGAAAGUGUGGGUAUCAAACAGGAUUAGAUACCCGAGUAGUC